rnacentral:rRNA from 1 species
GUGGGGAAUCUUCCGCAAUGGACGAAAGUCUGACGGAGCAACGCCGCGUGAGUGAUGAAGGUCUUCGGAUUGUAAAGCUCUGUUAAUCGGGACGAAAGAGCCUAGUGUGAAUAAUGCUAGGAAGUGACGGUACCGGAAUAGAAAGCCACGGCUAACUACGUGCCAGCAGCCGCGGUAAUACGUAGGUGGCAAGCGUUGUCCGGAAUUAUUGGGCGGAAAGCGCGCGCAGGCGGAUCUGCCAGUCUGUCUUAAAAGUUCGGGGCUUAACCCCGUGAUGGGAUGGAAACUACAGAUCUAGAGUAUCGGAGAGGAAAGUGGAAUUCCUAGUGUAGCGGUGAAAUGCGUAGAUAUUAGGAAGAACACCAGUGGCGAAGGCGACUUUCUGGACGAAAACUGACGCUGAGGCGCGAAAGCCAGGGGAGCGAACGGGAUUAGAAACCCUGGUAGUCC